CCCUUAGAUGUUCUGGGCCGCACGCGCGCUACAAUGAUGAAUUCAACGAGUUUAUAACCUUGGUCGAAAGGCCUGGGUAAUCUUUUGAACUUUCGUCGUGAUGGGGCUAGACCCUUGCAAUUUUUGGUCUCCAACGAGGAAUUCCUAGUAAACGCAAGUCAUCAACUUGCAUUGAUUACGUCCCUGCCCUUUGUACACACCGCCCGUCGCACCUACCGAUUGAAUGGUCCGGUGAAAUCUUUGGACUGUGGCUUUGUCUUACUCUGUAAGACGCUGUUGCGGGAAAUUGAUUAAACCUUACCAUUUAGAGGAAGGUGAAGUCGUANCA
rnacentral:rRNA from 1 species